AACGAACGCUGGCGGCAUGCCUUACACAUGCAAGUCGAACGAUAGCUUCGGGCUUGGUGUCGCACGGGUUCGCAAAGCGUGGGAUUAUGCCCUUGGCCUCGGCCUAACAGUUAGAAAUGACUGCUGAUACCGGAUUAUGUCCCCCUUAGGGCUCUUGGGUACCAAAGGUUGAUCGGCCAGGGAGGAGCCGGUGUAGGAUUAGGUAGUUGGUUGGGUAAAGGCCUAGCAAGCCGCCGAUCCUUAGCUGGGUUGAGAGGAUGAUCAGCCACACUUGGACGGAGACACGGCCGAGAAUCUUACGCGAGGCAGGAGUGGGGAAUAUUGGACAAUGGGGGGAACCAUGAUCCAGCAAUGCCGCGUGAGUGAUGAAGGCCGGAGGGUUGUAAAGCGCUUUUACCAGGGAUGAUAAUGACAGUACCGGGAGAAUAAGCUCCGGCUAACUACGUG
rnacentral:rRNA from 1 species